CUGGAGGUAUCAGAAGUGCGAAUGCUGACAUAAGUAACGAUAAAGCGGGUGAAAAGCCCGCUCGCCGGAAGACCAAGGGUUCCUGUCCAACGUUAAUCGGGGCAGGGUGAGUCGACCCCUAAGGCGAGGCCGAAAGGCGUAGUCGAUGGGAAACGGGUUAAUAUUCCCGUACUUGGUGUUACUGCGAAGGGGGGACGGAGAAGGCUAUGUUGGCCGGGCGACGGUUGUCCCGGUUUAAGCGUGUAGGUGUGUGUUCCAGGUAAAUCCGGUUCACUUUAACACUGAGGCGUGACGACGAGGCACUACGGUGCUGAAGCAACAAAUGCCCUGCUUCCAGGAAAAGCCUCUAAGCAUCAGGUAACAUCAAAUCGUACCCCAAACCGACACAGGUGGUCAGGUAGAGAAUACCAAGGCGCUUGAGAGAACUCGGGUGAAGGAACUAGGCAAAAUGGUGCCGUAACUUCGGGAGAAGGCACGCUGACACGUAGGUGAAGUGAUUUACUCAUGGAGCUGAAGUCAGUCGAAGAUACCAGCUGGCUGCAACUGUUUAUUAAAAACACAGCACUGUGCAAACACGAAAGUGGACGUAUACGGUGUGACGCCUGCCCGGUGCCGGAAGGUUAAUUGAUGGGGUCAGCGCAAGCGAAGCUCCUGAUCGAAGCCCCGGUAAACGGCGGCCGUAACUAUAACGGUCCUAAGGUAGCGAAAUUCCUUGUCGGGUAAGUUCCGACCUGCACGAAUGGCGUAAUGAUGGCCAGGCUGUCUCCACCCGAGACUCAGUGAAAUUGAACUCGCUGUGAAGAUGCAGUGUACCCGCGGCAAGACGGAAAGACCCCGUGAACCUUUACUAUAGCUUGACACUGAACAUUGAGCCUUGAUGUGUAGGAUAGGUGGGAGGCUUUGAAGCGUGGACGCCA
rnacentral:rRNA from 1 species